GGCGAGUGAAGCGGCAAAGCUCAAAUUUGAAAUCUGGUACCUUCAGUGCCCGAGUUGUAAUUUGGAGAGGGCAACUUUGGGGCCGUUCCUUGUCUAUGUUCCUUGGAACAGGACGUCAUAGAGGGUGAGAAUCCCGUGUGGCGAGGAGUGCGGUUCUUUGUAAAGUGCCUUCGAAGAGUCGAGUUGUUUGGGAAUGCAGCUCUAAGUGGGUGGUAAAUUCCAUCUAAAGCUAAAUAUUGGCGAGAGACCGAUAGCGAACAAGUACAGUGAUGGAAAGAUGAAAAGAACUUUGAAAAGAGAGUGAAAAAGUACGUGAAAUUGUUGAAAGGGAAGGGCAUUUGAUCAGACAUGGUGUUUUGUGCCCUCUGCUCCUUGUGGGUAGGGGAAUCUCGCAUUUCACUGGGCCAGCAUCAGUUUUGGUGGCAGGAUAAAUCCAUAGGAAUGUAGCUUGCCUCGGUAAGUAUUAUAGCCUGUGGGAAUACUGCCAGCUGGGACUGAGGACUGCGACGUAAGUCAAGGAUGCUGGCAUAAUGGUUAUAUGCCGCCCGUCUUGAA
rnacentral:rRNA from 1 species